AGGAUAAACGCUGGCGGCGUGCCUAACACAUGCAAGUCGAACGCUCUUUUCCUUCGCAAGAGGGGGGAGGGAGUGGCGGACGGGUGAGGAACACAUGGGUGACCUACCUUUCAGUGAGGAAUACCGGCGAGAAAUCGCCGACAAGACCGCAUGAGCUUCUCUCGGUAAGCGAGGGAAGGAAAGCUCUUUUUCGCGAAAACGGAGAGGGGCGCUGGAAGAUGGGCCUGUGGCCGAUUAGCUAGUUGGUGAGGUAACGGCUCGACCAAGGCGACGAUCGGUAGCUGGUCUGAGAGGACGAUCAGCCACACUGGGAUUGAGAACGGCCCAGACUCCUACGGGGGGCAGCAGUGAGGAAUUUUCCGCAAUGGGCGCAAGCCUGACGGAGCAACGCCGCGUGCAGGAAGACGGUUUUCGGAUCGUAAACUGCUUUUCUCGGGGACGAGAACGGACGGUACCCGAGGAAUCGAGCCCCGGCUAACUACGCGCCAGCAGCCGCGGU
rnacentral:rRNA from 1 species